rnacentral:tRNA from 1 species
GCUCAGCUGGCUCAGUCAGUAGAGCAUGAGACUCUUAAUCUCAGGAUUGUGGGUUUGAGCCCCACGUUGGGCG